rnacentral:lncRNA from 1 species
CGGAUUGCCACACAGCGCAAGGUGAGCCCUUAGAUUCUCUCCAAUUUCUUUUAAGUAAGGGGUGUGAUAGAAUUAAGUAAGAUGUGGUAGAAUUUGGAGGGAUGAAUCAAGGAGUGAUUUCUCAUUGAAGUUAUUCCUUGUUUAGCUAGGCAUGAGAUGCCUAUAAAAGGAGGGGUGGCGUGGGACAUUAGAGAGCAUUGGAUGCAUUGGAGCUCUCUUGAUUUCGGCCGCCCCACCAUCUUCCUCUUCUUCCUCCAGUCGUGAGCAAGAAAGAAGAGCUGGUCUUCUUCUUCUUCCUCCUUCUCAAAGCGGUCAAAGGGUUGAUUGAAGAAAGAGGAAAUCAGCUAUCAAAGGUGAUCUCUGCAAGGGAGCUAGCACCCCGGUGAGAUCUUGGAGCGAUCUAUACCUCGUAUGGAUACCUGUAGAGGCCAGACGCUUGUGCGGCUUCAAGCGAACCAAAUUCAACCAUCAUCAGAUGGCGGUGAAGAUCUACCCACUCAAAGGUAAAGAUAUGAUUUUUAUAAAUUUGAAUAGUAGAUCUGAAAUUAAUCAAGUUAAUAAUUUUAAUCUUUCCUUUAGAUUUCAUAAUUUUCUGAGUUAGAGAACUUAAGAAAAUUUUUGAAAUCUACGUUUUCUAGGACGUUCAUGAGAUGAACGACCCCGUGCGUAUCUUUCCGCUGCAAUCGUUGCAACGCGUGCGGGGGUAACCCGACAAACCGAUCAUCCAAGAACUCACCGAUCUCAAAAUCAAAGUGCACAGACUUCUCAUCCACUGGCUCCAAUGGUUCUAUAGUUCUCUUUCCUUUUCCUUUGUAAUUGAUUAAUUAACGAGCAAAUGAUUGGAUUUGAAUUUUAUUUUAUAAGAAUGAACAAGCGUAAGAAGUAUACUUGUUCGCCAAGCGUAAAUAAAUGAUUACCUGCUAGAUGUAAGUUCCAGGUCAUCUGGUAAUCCCAUCUUUGCUCAAAAUUCUUAGUGUACUAAUCAGCAUGCCUCGGAUCUGCCUAUCUGGCUUUAGUAGUCCUCGUCAUAUGAUACAGAAAACCUAUUUGAGGGUAUCUUUCACUAUCCAUGGCCCUGAGCACUUAAUAUAAUGGUGCAAUAGUCUUAACUAUUUUCUUGGCCUCCUUCCAAACUGCUGGCUUGUCGCUAAGCCUUUCAUGUGACUGCCCUCCAUGCCACUAUGAGCAUAUAUACUCUUUGGCCGCUCAACUCUCACAAAUAUCUAACAGGGGUAUGCCUUCUUUUCAAUAAAGGUAUCGAGUAUACUAUAGUACACGAUAAAGCGGAUGAUUGUUGGCCUUAAUAUCUCACCUUAGUGCGCUUUCUCAUUAAAGAUAAAACCCAUGUGUGGUUAUAUAUGGACUUUGUAAAGGGCUAGUUGUCUCCAUAACCUGCUUUACCCUAUAAUCUUGCCAUCCAUCAAAACCAAGUUUAUAUAGUAGGCAGCACAUGGGGUCUAAAAAAAAUAUGUAACCUAAUCAUCAGAAUCUCCCAGGUAGUCUUAUAUUAUGGUCCAUUAUUCGUAACCACCUGCACAGUAUGAUGCUCCCUUAUAUGAUCAAUUACUUCAUCAAGCUAAGGAUGUCAUUGGAUGUUGUGCAUUUUUUUUGAAGCAUCAACAGACUUAUGGAAAAAAAAAUUAUCACAAUAUGUCAAGAAAUUAAUGAUGCUUCACUUGCUAGGCCUCGUCCAACCAAUUAGAUGUUAGAGUCACACCAUAGGUGUACCAUUUACUCUAAUAGGAAGCUAUCUAUCUCGCGAGCUUCUUUUUAUUGUCCAGCAACUCACCAUACAUGUCUUUAGUCCAAUAGGAUCUACAUCCUGACUGGCUCUCUGAAUGGUGUCGAUAACAUAUCGGUAAUACGUAUUGUCUACGGCAUUGGCAAGGAUGUGGCCGAAGUUAAACCAAAAAGUAAUAACUCUCCAUGUACCCUUUUCUUAUCCUUUACAAGCAUAGUAUCAAUCCUUUACUGCUUAAAAUCUCUGAUAAAAAUGGCAUGUAGAGCUACAUCAUGAAUGGUGGCCCUUUCUGGUAUAUCUCUGAACUUCUUUUUCUUUUUCUUACCAAAGGUCCCAAACAUAGAUGCAAUUCUGCUGCCACAUUUUCCUACAAUCUCUCUGCUUCCUGGAUCUAUGCUAGCAAACUUAGAACCAGAACCUCUCAAACUAUGAGGGCCUAAAUCGAGACUUGUGACCAGCAACCUCCUCCUUGUGCCACUAAUCAUUUAGAUUCUCCCAUAUGUAGCCCGAAUCUGCAUCUCUUCCAUGUUAUCUAUAUUCAACAUCUCAUGAUCCUCUAGAUCCUUGGAGUAGUAUGGAUAUGGCUCAGCGGCAUGACGUUUGAUCCCUACUCUUUUCUCAGCAUUUCUACGCUUGCUCUCCUUAAAAUCAGUGAAGUGCUUUUUAAACAUCUUGCAGACAUCCUGUGAACAUUUGCUAUAAGCAGCCACAUCGUGGUAACCACCGGACCGAUUUUGCUUUAAUCUCGACUCUGCAUCACACAACUUGCACCUCCAAUGGUGCCUGCCCGAAAUCAUCACCCAUGCUCCCAGUCUAUGGCAUGU